rnacentral:rRNA from 1 species
UACGUAGGGUGCGAGCGUUGUCCGGAAUUAUUGGGCGUAAAGGGCUCGUAGGCGGUUUGUCGCGUCGGGAGUGAAAACCUCGGGCUUAACUCGGGGCUUGCUUUCGAUACGGGCAGACUAGAGGUAUGCAGGGGAGAACGAAUUCCUGGUGUAGCGGUGAAUGCGCAGAUAUCAGGAGGAACACCGGUGGCGAAGGCGGUUCUCUGGGCAUGAUCUGACGCUGAGGAGCGAAAGUGUGGGGAGCGAACAGG